GGUCUUUCCUUGAAUGUUGGAUUUCCUUCUCUUUCCUACUUGGUACUACUGCAGGAAGGAAGGCUGCACAGGAAAGAAGAGUAUCUUCUCUAUUAGCUACUAGAAGUUUUUAAUUUUCUUCCCUUGCUCACCCAGCUGCCUCUUGUCCAUUUGGGUAGGGGCUGCAAAGGAAUGAGAAAGAAAGACCUGAAAACUUUGUGAACUGGCAUAGGAGCUUUCUGGGCUUGGCAGCUGUGCAUGGCUCCUGUAGCGCCUAGGCAUUGGCAAGCUCUCCUACAGCUUCUCUUGGCUGGUAUUCCUCAUCUUCACCUCUUGGACAGGAUUUUAGACCACCUGGACAGCCAGUUUUCCCUCCCUUAUGGCUCAUAUCUGGCCCAUGGGAACCAGAUAUACAUCCUCCCCUUUCACUGUUUAUCAAUCACCAUUGCCUACAAGCAAGGGCAAUAAACUGGGGGCCCACUGGGGCAGAUGUCUUAAUGGAGAGAGCAGAGAUGAAGAGAAAAUCCCUCAGCAGGUUGAGAGUGACUUCUGCAGGCUCAGGGCACAAAGCGAGAUCUCUUUGCACAGAAUUUCGAUCAUCCUUGCUACUUAAGACCCCCAAAAUGGUGGAACCCAGGGGUACAGAGAGCUAAGGAAGGAAAACUCCAUACUUGAGAUGCCUUCUUGAGCCAGCAGUGGCAGUAGUGGUGGUGGAGGCAACAGUUAGAUGAACUGACUGGUCCUGACCACACAGUGUCAAAAUAGAGAAUGGAGAGCAGGUCUGCUGUUUACCAAAGAAGACCGAAACAUGGCCCACGUGUCCAAUCCUUGCUUGGAGGAGGAGCCGGGAGGAUACCCUUGAUGAACUGCUCUCAGAUUGUUGGUCUAUGAAGGAGGUUAAUACAUGUCAGUUUGACAUUGUAUCAUUGAAUCAGAAUUGAACAUCAGAAAGAGUAAAAUUCCCAGGCCUUUUUUACCCUAGCCUGGGUACAAGCUCAAGAUGAUGCAGAAGGAGGAGCAAAGCAUGGGAUCCAAGAAAGUUAAGUUCCAGCUCAGGUCGAAGAGAAUCAUGUCUGUGAUCUGUGUCUUUGGUUUCUUCAUCUACAGCUGUCAUCUUGUGGGCUGGAGCAUGGUGGCCAGGAAGUGUGCAAGGGGCUCUGGUGUCCAUGCAGCCCUCAUAGACCUGAGGAGACUACUCUUUUGAGCUUCUGACCACCCAUCAGCAUUGGAUUAGAGAUUCUGGACUAAAUGACUUUCUCCAGGAAUAGUUGCUGGUGGACAAAAC
rnacentral:lncRNA from 1 species